GUCCAUGUGCGUCUAUUAGCUCCAUUACGGUAACAGAUUAAUGUGAAAUAUUCCUUUAAAACAGAAAAACGUCUGAGUGAACUUCAGGAAGACUUUCAAAAACGUUUAAUAAAGAUCAAUAAAUUUAUGAUUCAGGUUUCAAAGCUUCUUAAACCGACAGAUUAGAGAGUCAGACACGAACCACAGUCUCUGCAGACUCUCCUCUCCUCCUCUCCUCUCCUCCUCUCCUCCUCUCCUUCCCUCCUCCUCUCAUUUUGAUCUAUAAAUAUCUCUCCUCUGGUCUAUUUUUAACUCGGCUCAGACUAAAUUUACUGAGUCGGGCGUCUCCCUCCCUCCCGUCCCACCACAGAAGAGCCCCCCCCCCCAAAUGUUUACAGCCAAACCGCAGACCUGAGGGCCGCCGCUCUGAGACCGAGUGAGUCAGAGAAACCAGCAGACAGAGGAGCUUCAGUCCGACUGCAGAGAGAGAAGAUCUGAACCUCAGAGACGUUCGUGUUUCUAAACUGAGCAGAAAAAAAGAGAAACGAUCAAUAAAUCUUUAUCAAUAAACAAACAAACGAUCAAUAAAUCUUUAUGAAUAAACAAACAAACAAUCAAUAAAUCUUUAUUAAUAAACAAACAAACGAUCAAUAAAUCGUUAUUAAUAAACAAACAAACAAUCAAUAAAUCUUUAUGAAUAAACUAACAAACGAUCAAUAAAUCUUUAUUAAUAAACAAACAAACAAUCAAUAAAUCUUUAUUAAUAAACUAACAAACGAUCAAUAAAUCUUUAUUAAUAAACAAACAAACGAUCAAUAAAUCUUUAUUAAUAAACUAAAAAACGAUCAAUAAAUCUUUAUGAAUAAACAAACAAACGAUCAAUAAAUCUUUAUGAAUAAACAAACGAUCAAUAAAUCUUUAUUAAUAAACAAACAAACGAUCAAUAAAUCUUUAUUAAUAAACAAACAAACGAUCAAUAAAUCUUUAUUAAUAAACAAACAAACGAUCAAUAAAUCUUUAUUAAUAAAUAAACAAACGAUCAAUAAAUCUUUAUUAAUAAACAAACGAUCAAUAAAUCUUUAUAAAUAAACAAACAAACGAUCAAUAAAUCUUUAUUAAUAAACAAACAAACGAUCAAUAAAUCUUUAUUAAUAAACUAACAAACGAUCAAUAAAUCUUUAUAAAUAAACAAACAAACGAUCAAUAAAUCUUUAUAAAUAAACAAACAAACGAUCAAUAAAUCUUCAUUAAUAAAGCGCCGAUCAAACGUGAUCUCUGCUCGACAAAGAAGAGGGUCCAGAACAAACUCGGGUUCUGCUGGUCUGGGUCUCUCCUCCUCCUUUCUCCGAGUCCACCAGCCCACAAUUACAGACCAUGUGCUGAGGUAACCCCGCCCCCCAACCCCUCCACCCACCACCAGCCUAACCCCACCCACCCAAACCGCCCUUUGAUGUCAGACCAAACGCCCCCUCAGGCUUCUUCUGUUUCUCCUCCAGACCUCAAACCCAGCAGAGGGACUUUGUCUGCAGGGACCGGGCCUGGAAAGACCUGGAAAAAUGAGACCUGGAUUUCCAAAGAAAGAGGAAAAACUGUUGAGGCUGUCAGAGUCCGGUCAGGUCUGUCUGAAGUCCUCCUCUGAUCAGACUCUGGACUCCUCUUCAUGUUCACCCUUUCAUACAUGUUGGUCACUACAGGGACAGCUGUUCAAAGCUCUUCUCAUGGAUACUGUUGUUGUAGAUCCAGUUCUUACUCAAACAUAAAUAAACUAAUCGAUGCAGAGAUGUUUUCUUUUUGAAGUCCGACUGAACAGACGGAGCAGAAAAGCAGAAAUAUUAAAGACUGUGUCACUUUCUCAGAGAGUGUUCGGAGGAUAAGGACGAUAUUUUUCUGUCUUUUUGUAAAUAAAUCUGAAGAAAUCUGCAGUUUAUGAGUUUGGAGCGAAGUUCAACCUUUUUGUUUUGCUUUGAGUAUGAGUUAGAACACAGGUGUCAAACUCAAGGCCCAGGGAACAAAAUCAUCUGACCCACAAGAUCAUGUCAUGUUUGUAUGAUUAUUGACCCACCAGUAUGAAGUCUGCAGAUUUGUAAACUUUAGCGUCAUUACUUCAAAUGUCCGUGAUAAACCAUGACAAUCAAAUAUUUGGUGUUUUAGUUCAUGUUUCAAGUUUGCAUUUCAGGAUUACGAGUCAAAAAUGAUCAGAUUUUUUUAUUUCAUGCUCAACUCAGUUUUUAGACUCGUGUCAUUUUUAUACUUUAGAUUCCAAUUUUAAACUUUAAGUCAUACUUUGACCUUUUAAACCUGAUUUCAACGUUCUCCUCGUGUUUUUGCUCUUUAAAUGCAUCAUUUUUCUGUUUUUUUUUAAUAAAAAAUAAAAUAAAGUUUUCUGACUCAGAUAAACUUUUGAUCUUUUUUGAAUUUCCAAAUGGUUUAUCAUCACUGCUGUUUCUGUUUUGCAUAUUUUUUUAAAGGAGGUUGACAGUUUGGGUGAAACGUUGACCCUGUUGGGCCCUCAGGUCAGACCUAAAUCCAGAUGACGGCCCCUGCUGUGACGGACAGGUGUGUUUAGUGAGAGUCUCACCUGAACAGGUGAAUCCGUCCCUCUGCAGAGACUCUGGAGUUUAUUAUAUGUCCUCACAAGAAUAGGAGAGCAGACGUGUGUGUGUGUGUGUGUGAGUUCAGGUGUGUUUGCUCAGUCAUUAGCAGAGGUGUGUGUGUGUGUCUGACACAGGAAACCUCGUAUCUAAGAAAAUAAAAGCCUCUUUAUCAGUUUAUUUAAAAUGUUUAUUUUGAUUUUUAAACGUUUUUAUGUUUAAACUUCAAAAUUUUUAUCGUCUCUGUGAGUUUCAGUCAAAAUCAGAAAAAGGUGAAAACACAGGUGUGGGACUUACGAGGUUUUCCUCCGACAGCAGGUUCAGCUCAUGGAAGAACCUGGUCGCCUUGGCAACAGGAAGUCCUUCACGUUAAAUGACUUCCUGUUCUUCAGAGCUUCCUGACACACACACACACACACACACACAAUAAUCAUUCGUCUUUGUUUAUUGUGAGCUCUUCUCUGAUUGGUCGCUGAGGCGGGUCAGCUGAUCAGGUUAAUUAAUCACAGAUCAAUGGAGGUGUCAACGUCUGUCAGUCACAUGAUAACGUGACUCUAAUGCUAAUGCUAAUGCUAAUGCUAGCUGAGACCCCCUGCAGUGAGACUAAUGCCUUUACACACACACACACACACACACACACACACACACACGCACACACACACACACACUGCAGACCCCUCAGGGUGUCUCCAGACUCACAAUAAACACGUUUGACCUCAGGACGGGUCAUGUGAUCUCACCAACACACCUUAGUUGUAGAAAUAUGAAGGUAGAUGUUUCUCCUAAACCUGGAGAUAUUGUCUACAACUGAGGAUGCAGCAUCUAUGAUUUCCAGUUCUAUGUUGAAAGGACAACUGAACUUAGAUGAGUCUCAUCUAAGUCCAGUUGUCCUUUCCAAAAGAGCGUCAGUGUUCACAGACCUGGACUCGAACGUAGAUGUACAAACCUAGAUCAGUCAGUGUGCCGCACAAACGUCUUCAAUCAGAGACUCGGUUUAUUUCUGGACUCGUUAGGGGGGUAAAAAUAGACUCUAAAAAUAGACCCCAAACCGCCAGCAGAGCCCCCACCCCACCCAGAACCCACCACAGCAGACCCUCCUCACACCCCAAACCACCAAACCAGCAGAACCACCACAGGCUCCACCCUGCAGAGGAGGGGCUCCAACCACAGCAGGGCCCCCCCAAAACCACCACCAACCAGGACCCCCA
rnacentral:lncRNA from 1 species